rnacentral:rRNA from 1 species
UACGGAGGGUGCAAGCAUUAAUCGGAUUUAUUGGGCGUAAAGGGCGCGUAGGCGGGUUUGUAAGUCAGAUGUGAAAUCCCGGGGCUCAACCCCGGAACUGCAUUUGAAACUGCGAAUCUUGAGGGUAGGCGGAGAAAACAGAAUUCCACAAGUAGCGGUGAAAUGCGUAGAUAUGUGGAAGAAUACCGGUGGCGAAGGCGGUUUUCUAGCUUACUCCUGACGCUGAGGCGCGAAAGUAAGGGGAUCAAACAGG